CACGUGAGAAACCUGCCCUGAACUUGGGAAUAACAGUUGGAAACGGCUGCUAAUACCGAAUACCUUCACGACGUCGCAUGGCGAUGUGAAGAAAGCUUUAUGCGGUUCAGGAGGGUCUCGCGACCUAUCAGCUUGUUGGUGAGGUAACGGCUCACCAAGGCAUCGACGGGUAACUGGUCUGAGAGGAUGAUCAGCCACACUGGGACUGAGACACGGCCCAGACUCCUACGGGAGGCAGCAGUGGGGAAUAUUGCACAAUGGGCGCAAGCCUGAUGCAGCCAUGCCGCGUGUGUGAAGAAG
rnacentral:rRNA from 1 species